rnacentral:rRNA from 1 species
GACGAACGCUGGCGGCGUGCCUAAUACAUGCAAGUAGAACGCUGAAGCGAGGAGCUUGCUCUUCUUGGAUGAGUUGCGAACGGGUGAGUAACGCGUAGGUAACCUGCCUUGUAGCGGGGGAUAACUAUUGGAAACGAUAGCUAAUACCGCAUAACAAUGGAUGACACAUGUCAUUUAUUUGAAAGGGGCAAUUGCUCCACUACAAGAUGGACCUGCGUUGUAUUAGCUAGUAGGUGAGGUAAUGGCUCACCUAGGCGACGAUACAUAGCCGACCUGAGAGGGGGGUUGGGCACAAUGGGAAUGAGAAAAGGGCCAGAACUCUUAGGGAAGGAGCAGGAGGGAAAUCUCGGGAAUGGGGGGAAACCCGAACGAGGAAAGCCGGGGGAGGGAAGAAGGGUUUCGGAUCGGAAAGCUCUGUUGUAAGUCAAGAACGGGUGUGAGAGUGGAAAGUUCACACUGUGACGGUAGCUUAACAGAAAGGGACGGCUAACUACGUG